AUUGAACGCUGGCGGCAGGCCUAACACAUGCAAGUCGAACGAGUGGCGGACGGGUGAGUAAUGUCUGGGAAACUGCCUGAUGGAGGGGGAUAACUACUGGAAACGGUGGCUAAUACCGCAUACCAUCGGAUGUGCCCAGAUGGGAUUAGCUAGGAGGUGGGGUAAAGGCUCACCUAGGAGAUGAUCCCUAUCUGGUCUGAGAGGAUGACCAGCCACUCUGGAACGGAGCAACGGUCCAUACUCCUACGAGAGGCAUCGGUGGGGUAUAUUGCACAAUGGGCGCAAGUCUGAUUCAGCCAUGCCGCGUGUAUGAAGAAGGCCUGCGGGUUGUAAAGUACUUUCAGCGGGGAGGCGUUACCCGCAGAAGAAGCACCGGCUAACUCCGUGCCAGCAGCCGCGGUAAUUC
rnacentral:rRNA from 1 species